rnacentral:rRNA from 2 species
CCUACGGGCGGCAGCAGUGGGGAAUAUUGGGCAAUGGGGGAAACCCUGACCCAGCAAUGCCGCGUGAGUGACGAAGGCCUUCGGGUUGUAAAGCUCUGUCCUUGGGGAAGAAGCAUGACGGUACCCAAGAAGCAAGCCACGGCUAACUACGUGCCAGCAGCCGCGGUAACACGUAGGUGGCAAGCGUUGUCCGGAAUUACUGGGCGUAAAGGGCGAGUAGGCGGCCAUGCAAGUCAGAUGUGAAAGGCUAGGGCUUAACCCUAACAUUGCAUUUGAAACUGUGUGGCUUGAGUACAGGAGAGGGAAGCGGAAUUCCUAGUGUAGCGGUGAAAUGCGUAGAUACUAGGAGGAACACCAGUGGCGAAGGCGGCUUCCUGGCCUGUAACUGACGCUGAGGCGCGAAAGCGUGGGGAGCAAACAGGAUUAGAUACCCCAGUAGUC